UAUGCGUAUGUAAACGCUAAACGGUGUGAACAAGAAUGACAUGAUUAGGAAGAAACACACUCACAGCAUCCAAGGUCUCACACAUCACCACAAUCUUAACACCUUUCACGGAGAACUGUGAGCCUUCAGCAACAACUCCAUUCACCACUGUGCAGGCACACCCACAUGCAUGAGAAGUAUCCAAUUAGGUAUCUAUCAAAUAACGAAGAGUUUUUGUAACUUGCAGAAAAAUUAUUGGCGACAUCUGAUCGACAAUUCAAGGAUGUUGAUAGAACAUGCCAAUUGAAUUCGAAUAGAAUUAAUAGGGUUUGAUGUAAACUCAUGAAUACUAAGGACCAAACGGAGUGGAAGAGACAUGAAGCCAUGAGGUAUUUACAUAAAUUUUAGCUUCAGACCUCACCAAUGCAAUAGUCUGCGACAUCAGUUUACUAGUUUAAGGAAGUGGAAUGGGCUCCAACCGUAGAGCUUAUUACCAUGAUGAGAAAUAUCCUGCUCAUUCUACCCAAACUUUAGCUAUUCAAUGAUGGAAAUAUUGUGAGCUUCGUUGCUUUUCUUCAGCGAAUGUCUUCGUCUAUAGAGAGCUACCAAAAAUAAAAUUUGCUGAGAUGGAAAUCAAAUAUCUCAUAAAUAAAAUUCUGAGGUGAAGAUGGUGAAGAUAUGAUGCAAAAGCACAUGGUACAACAUAAGAGAAAAUUACGCAACAUUCCUACUUACAAACUUUGGAGCGCUGUAGAAUAAGGAACUUAGCAAGGGGAGGAGUUUGUGAUAGUGCCUUUAAAUCCCUCUGUUAGAGAUUGCUAUUCAUGCCCCUAAUCAGCAAUUUCGAAAGUUUUAUGGACGAUCGGAUUGAAAUGUUCCGGGCAGAGCGUGAAAAAUUUCCGGAGCCGGUCGCCCUCAUCCAUAGAAUACAGACGUGUGUUACAGACAAUAGCUGCUAAACACUGGCAUUCGCGAAAUUCUCACUUUCAUUAGAAGCAUCGGAAUACAAAAAUUGGCGAGUGCUCUGAGAGUCGAACAAAUUCUGCUGCGUGUCGCUCACCACGAAGUCAUCCUCGCAUCCAGUCACAAAACUCAAUCUUAGGCCCAACACAAACAGUGGCUGCCUCAUCACAAGCCUUUUGAAUGGACUGCUUGGUUCGACCCAAACAACCCUCGACAUCCAUCACCAACUUCACCACGCUUGGCAUCUUGUCGCCAACAAUUUCAACCCCAAUUCGCUACAUACAGUCCCUCUCCCAAAUCCCGAAAAUUCUGGGCUGUAUCAUUCUCGCAUGGCAAUCCCACACAGUUAUCAAUGAAAAUGUAUGCUCUGACACAAUCGCAGACACUCCUCGCGGUGUCUUGCAUCUUUCGCUGAGUUCCUCGAUUGAAAAACUCGCCAUGAAGCUCCGGAUGAGCUCUAAACCUAGGCACUGUUUGGAUCUCAUCUUGGCAGUAUAUACUUUUCAUGAUUGAGACUUAUCUAAAUAUAGAAUUGUGCCUUAUUAGGAUGAUAAUCAAAAUCUGGUCCACAUCGCCUCGAAAAUGAUUAUCAUAUCCUUUUCCUCAAAAUCGCGGCCCUGAUGGCCCUAAAACCUGCAGACCUGUACAGUGAGCAAAAAGGAGGAUCUUACUUUUG
rnacentral:lncRNA from 1 species